rnacentral:rRNA from 1 species
AUUGAACGCUGGCGGCAGGCUUAACACAUGCAAGUCGAACGAGUGGCGGACGGGUGCGUAAUGCUUGGGAAUCUAGCUGAUGGAGGGGGAUAACUACGGGAAACUGUAGCUAAUACCGCGUAACAUAGGAUGAGCCAAGGUGGGCGUAGGGCGUUGGUGAGGUAAAGGCUAACCAAGCCGACGCGCUCUAGAUGGUCUGAGAGGUUGACCAGCCACACUGGUACUGCGACACGGCCACGACUCCUACGGGAGGCAGCAGUGGGGAAGAUUGCGCAAUGGGGGCAACCUGACGCAGCCAUGCCGCGUGAAUGAAGAAGGCCUUCGGGUUGUAAAGUUCUUUCGGUAGCGAGGCGUUAACUACAGAAGAAGCACCGGCUAACUCCGUGCCAGCCGCCGCGGUAAUUC